CUAAUAAACCUUUCUGCAAAUGAGUCACCUUUACUACCUGUUUUCUUACAUUGUGACUGUAAAUCUGCAAUAGAUAAGUGUAACCAAGAAAAUGCCAAUGUAAACAUGAAAAGGCACUUAAAAAUAUGUCAUAAAUUAAGAUACAAAUUGAAAAAUAACAUUAUUGCUUUAAAUUUUGUAAAAUCAGAAAAUAAUUUGGCUGAUCAGCUUACAAAAAGUUUGUCUAAAACAGUAGUUCUAGAGUCAUCGAGGGGGAUAGGGCUUAGCCCAUAAAGAUAGAUCACCACGGUGGGAACCUAACCUUAAAAGGUUCAAUGGGUAGAAACAAACCGGAGUGUGACUAAGAGGAGCACUAUUUUAUGUUUUCCUCAUCCCUAUGGCGCUAGUGCUCAUAAAAGCAAGCGGUAGGAUGAGUUUGUUUAUAUAACUUUUAAUGAGUCCAAGACCCAAGAGGCAGGAGCUUCCUUGCUAGCUUUCUUAUUAUGACUCACCUAUAUAUGUAGUCGUGAGGCAGCGAUUAUGAAAAAUGGGCGAUUCUCUAAAAAAGCACAUGAAAGAUACCUGCGCAUGACCAUAUUAGCGCAACCCGCUUAGAACCCAGAUCAGACUAUAUUAUUUGUGCUGUUGAUUUAAUCUGAGUCAUGGAUCGAGGUUCAAGGUUAAGACUACCUUGGCUCCACAAAUGUAAUCAAUUGUCACUAAAUGAAGGUUCAAAUCGAAAAGUACCUACACCUAUUACAUAAUAUAAGAUAUCCAGCAUUUUGUUUUGAUUUUAAAAUUAUUUAAAAAUUAAUUUUUGGAGGGAUUGUUGAAAAAAUUAAAUGCGCACGCGGGCCAGCUUCCCCCACCUGGACCCCUACAGGAUACUCUAAAGGAGUCGAGUCAUCUCCCGAUGCCACAGAGCAUUUGGGCCCGCCUCUAUCUAGCUUACUCCCAGGGGACCCAAAACACUCACGUCACCAACCACUGGGGGCACGUCCACCUCCUUCCUCUCACGCAAGGAGGCGACUCCUCCAGCCGGCGACCUACCUGGGUCGAUGGUCGCCCCCAUCUCCAAGCAACCCCGGUCAUCCCCUACUCGCGUCUAGUCCCUACCGUCACCCACGCCGUCCAUCACUUGCUAACGAGGAGAGGUGU
rnacentral:lncRNA from 1 species